AAAGUACUCCAUCCGUCCCAAAAUUCUUGUCUUAGAUUUGUCUAGAUACGGAUGUAUCAAGUCACAGAUACAUCCGUAUCUAGACAAAUCUAAGACAAGAAAUUUGGGACAGAGGGAGUAGUUG
rnacentral:pre_miRNA from 1 species